GACGUAGGGCGCGAGCGUUGUCCGGAUUUAUUGGGCGUAAAGCGCUCGUAGGCGGCUUGUCGCGUCGACUGUGAAAUCCCGCGGCUCAACUGCGGGUCUGCAGUCGAUACGGGCAGGCUAGAGUUCGGUAGGGGAGACUGGAAUUCCUGGUGUAGCGGUGAAAUGCGCAGAUAUCAGGAGGAACACCGGUGGCGAAGGCGGGUCUCUGGGCCGAUACUGACGCUGAGGAGCGAAAGCGUGGGGAGCGAACAGG
rnacentral:rRNA from 1 species